UCGGGAAUAUUGGUCAAUGGACGAAAGUCUGAACCAGCAAUGCCGCGUGAGUGAUGAAGGUCUUCGGAUCGUAAAGCUCUGUCUUUGGGGACGAAGAAAGUGACGGUACCCAAGGAGGAAGCCCCGGCUAACUACGUGCCAGCAGCCGCGGUAAUACGUAGGGGGCGAGCGUUGUCCGGAAUUACUGGGCGUAAAGGGCGAGUAGGCGGCUAUACAAGUCAGAUGUGAAACACCAGGGCUCAACCCUGGUACUGCAUUUGAAACUGUGUAGCUUGAGUACAGGAGAGGAAAGUGGAAUUCCCAGUGUAGCGGUGAAAUGCGUAGAUAUUGGGAGGAACACCAGUGGCGAAGGCGACUUUCUGGACUGUAACUGACGCUGAGGCGCGAAAGCGUGGGGAGC
rnacentral:rRNA from 1 species